rnacentral:rRNA from 1 species
AUUGAACGCUGGCGGCAGGCCUAACACAUGCAAGUCGAACGAGUGGCGGACGGGUGAGUCAUGUCUGGGAAACUGCCCGCUGGAGGGGGAUAACUACUGGACACGGUAGCUAAUACCGCAUACCAUCGGAUGUGCCCCGAUGGGAUUAGAUGGUAGGUGGGGUAAAGGCCCACCUAGGCGACGAUCCCUAGCUGGUCUGAGAGGAUGACCAGCCACACUGGAACGGAGACACGGUCCGGACUCCUACGGGAGGCAGCAGUUGGGAAUAUUGCAAAAUGGGCGCAAGCCUGAUGCAGCCAUGCCGCGUGUAGGAAGAAGGCCUUCGGGGUGUAAAGUACUUUCAGCGGGGAGGCGUUACCCGCAGAAGAAGCACCGGCUAACUCCGUGCCAGCAGCCGCGGUAAUUC